rnacentral:rRNA from 1 species
AGUCGAACGAAGUAGCAAUACUUAGUGGCAGACGGGUGAGUAACAUGUGGGUAUCUGCCCUUUGGCCUGGAAUAACACGAGGAAACUUGUGCUAAUACCGGAUAAGUCUUUACGGAGAAAGCUUUAUGCACCAUUGGAUGAGCCCGCACUUGAUUAGUUUGUUGGUGGGGUAAUGGCCUACCAAGACUGUGAUCAAUAGCUGAUUUGAGAGGAUGAUCAGCCACAUUGGGACUGAGACACGGCCCAAACUCCUACGGGAGGCAGCAGUGGGGAAUCUUGCACAAUGGAGGAAACUCUGAUGCAGCGAUGCCGCGUGAGUGAAGAAGGCCCUUGGGUUGUAAAGCUCUUUCGUCGGGGAAGAAAAUGACUGUACCCGAAUAAGAAGGUCCGGCUAACUUCGUGCCAGCAGCCGCGGUAAU